UCUCAUUCUUGAAUCCGGCCGCGAGCGCACUCACAGUGAUCUAGACAUCAUCAUUCUUUCAACUAGAAUUUUUGCAAAUUGUUCUCCUAAAAAAUCUUGAAGAUUUGUGCGUGAAGUAAUCGGCCGUUAGCAUCCUCUUAGAUUAGAAGUAGCAGCAGCUAUAGUGUUUAGUUCAUAGAUUACACAUCAAAUAGUUGCUAGUUCGCUUAGAUUCAUCGGAACAUUUCCUAGCCCCUAAGAAAACACCGGUAGUGCUUCCUUCGCCAGCAUCAUCCCCUAAGUUGUCAUCCCAACAUUAUCAGCAGAAACAAAAUGGAGUGGUCACAUUUGUGCUUACUAAUUAUCAUUGGACUAGCUGUGGCAAAAGACUUCACCGAACAGGAAAUUCAAGUUUUAACAAAAACACCAGAGGAAUUAUGGGAAAUAUACAAGGAACAAUACAACAAACAAUACCAAUCAGAAGAGGAGGAAUCCUACCGAAAAGGAAUUGUACUCGAAAAAUACCGCAAACUAAAGGACCAAUUGGAACUUCGCAAUAAAAGUAUAAUUCUCUACACAAUCAGCAUCAGCAAAUAUUCAGAUUUGAGCCAUAAAGAAUUUAUGGAGAAAAUGUUUGGUCCCGAAAACGACCAGAAAGCAAUGUAGUAAGUGGAUAAUAAUUGCUUCAAACUGAGUGAACUUAUGCCGAAGUCAAUAUCGACAAGUAUAUCAUUAAACAGCUUUCUAUUCAUUACAAUUAUAUUAAUUUCAUAUUUUUAAAUGAAUUACAUUUAUAAAGUAAUUUUUAUAUAA